CACCCACAGCCACACAGCGCUGGUGCCCAGGCUGUGGACAGCACAGGGCUCUGUCCCAGGGCACCCAAGGGCAAGGAUGAAACUGCUGCGGUGGGGGCGGGGGUGCCAGGGCACCAGAGGGCCUUCUCUCACUGCACUCCUCCCCCAGGUUCCCAGGGCCCAGGGAGCACCCCUCC